GACAGAGGGUGCAAACGUUGCUCGGAAUCACUGGGCAUAAAGCGCACGUAGGCCGUUCACUAAGUCCAAUGUGAAAUCCCCCGGCUCAACCGGGGAACUGCAUCGGAUACUGGUGGACUCGAGAGUUGUAGGGGUGGACGGAACUCCAGGUGGAGCGGUGAAAUGCGCAGAUAUCGAGAGGAACACCUGCGGCGAAGGCGGGUUGCUGGGCUGACACUGACGCUGGACAGCGCGAAAGCCUAGGGGAGCGAACGGG
rnacentral:rRNA from 1 species